rnacentral:rRNA from 1 species
CCUACGGGGGGCUGCAGUGAGGAAUAUUGGUCAAUGGGCGCGAGCCUGAACCAGCCAAGUCGCGUGAAGGAUGACUGCCCUACGGGUUGUAAACUUCUUUUAUCAAGGAAUAAAGUGAGGCACGUGUCCCUUUUUGUAUGUACUUUAUGAAUAAGGACCGGCUAACUCCGUGCCAGCAGCCGAGGUAAUCCGGAGGUUCCGAGCGUUAUCCGGUUUUAUUGGGGUUAAAGGGAGAGUAGAUGGGGUGUUAAGGCCGUUGUCAAAGUUUGCGGCUCAACCGUAAAAUUGCAAUUGAUACUGGCAGCCUUGAGGACAGUUGAGGUAGGCGGAAUUCGUGGUGUAGCGGUGAAAUGCUUAGAUAUCACGAAGAACUCCGAUUGCGAAGGCAGCCUACUAAACUGCCACUGACAUUGAUGCUCGAAAGUGUGGGUAUCAAACAGGAUUAGAUACCCUAGUAGUC